rnacentral:rRNA from 1 species
UGCCAGCCGCCGCGGUAAUACGGAGGGUGCAAGCGUUGCUCGGAAUCACUGGGCGUAAAGGGUGCGCAGGCGGACUGUUAAGCCAGAUGUGAAAGCCCGGGGCUCAACCCCGGAACUGCAUCUGGAACUGGCAGUCUUGAGUGUGAGAGAGGAAAGUGGAAUUCCUGGUGUAGAGGUGAAAUUCGUUGAUAUCAGGAGGAACACCAGCGGCGAAGGCGGCUUUCUGGCUCAUAACUGACGCUCAUGCACGAAAGCGUGGGGAGCAAACAGGAUUAGAUA